CUGGCUCAGGAUGAACGCUAGCGACAGGCUAACACAUGCAAGUCGAGGGGCAGCAUAAAAGUAGCAAUACGUUGGUGGCGACCGGCGCACGGGUGAGUAACGCGUAUGCAACCUACCUAUCAGAGGGGAAUAACCCGGCGAAAGUCGGACUAAUACCGCAUAAAACAGGGACACCGCAUGGUGAUAUUUGUUAAAGAAAUUCGCUGAUAGAUGGGCAUGCGUUCCAUUAGGUAGUUGGUGAGGUAACGGCUCACCAAGCCGACGAUGGAUAGGGGAACUGAGAGGUUGGUCCCCCACACUGGUACUGAGACACGGACCAGACUCCUACGGGAGGCAGCAGUGAGGAAUAUUGGUCAAUGGGCGAGAGCCUGAACCAGCCAAGUCGCGUGAAGGAAGAAGGAUCUAUGGUUCGUAAACUUCUUUUGCAGGGGAAUAAAGUGCAGGACGUGUCCUGUUUUGUAUGUACCCUGAGAAUAAGGAUCGGCUAACUCCGUGCCAGCCGCGGC
rnacentral:rRNA from 1 species